rnacentral:rRNA from 1 species
GAGUUUGAUCCUGGCUCAGGACGAACGCUGGCGGCGUGCUUAACACAUGCAAGUCGAACGGUGACCUCGGAGCUUGCUCCGGGUGAUCAGUGGCGAACGGGUGAGUAACACGUGAGCAACCUGCCCCCGACUCUGGGAUAACCCCGGGAAACUCGGAGCUAAUACCGGAUACGAGACGCACAGGCAUCUGUUGCGUCUGGAAAGAAUUUCGGUCGGGGAUGGGCUCGCGGCCUAUCAGCUAGUUGGUGGGGUAGUGGCCUACCAAGGCGACGACGGGUAGCCGGCCUGAGAGGGCGACCGGCCGACACUGGGACUGAGACACGGCCCAGACUCCUACGGGAGGCAGCAGUGGGGAAUAUUGCACAAUGGGCGCAAGCCUGAUGCAGCGACGCCGCGUGAGGGAUGACGGCCUCGGUUGUAA